rnacentral:rRNA from 1 species
AACCGGUGGAAACGCCGACUAAUCCCCGAUGGGAUACGAUGCUUCAUGGCAUUGUACUGAAAGUUACGGCGGCGACGGAUUGGCUCGCGUCCGAUUAGCUUGUUGGCGGGGUAACGGCCCACCAAGGCUACGAUCGGUAGGGGUUCUGAGAGGAAGGCCCCCCACAAUGGGACUGAGACACGGCCCAUACCCCUACGGGAGGCAGCAGUGAGGAAUAUUGGUCAAUGGGCGGAAGCCUGAACCAGCCAUGCCGCGUGCGGGAAGGAGGCCCUAUGGGCUGUGAACCGCUUUUGCCUGGGGGCAAUAAGGGCGUCGCGCACGUCCGAUGA